GGGUGGAAUAAAAAUAAAGUUUUUUUAUUAUUAUUAUUAUUAUUAUUAUUAUUAUUAUUAUUAUUGUUUUAUUUUUAUGGUAAUAUUAUUAUUAUAUACUAUAUUAUUAUAUAUCAUACAUUAUAUUAUUAUUAUAUCAUUAUUAUUAUCAUUAUUAUAGAAGGGGCCUGAGUCAAAACAGAGAAAAUGCCAUACUUUUGAAAUGCAUAUAUAUGAUUGGCAGGGUGUGCUGUAUGGCAGGAAGUGGGGGUGAAGGUUUAGUGUCCCAGGUGGAGUGUCCAGGCCCAAAGAGUUCUUCCCUCCCCCUCUGCCCAUGCUCAGAGGCAUGCCCUUGCCUACCUUCUCCUCCUCUUCCUCUCUCUCUCCCCCCUUCCCACAUUCUCCUCCUCUUCCUGGAUCUCCUGCUCCUCUCCGCCUUCGUCUGCUAAUCCACUGGACCCGAUCCCUGGCCCCAGUGGUCUUUCCACCCCGACGCCCAUUCGGGGGGUUGGGAGCUCUGUUGGAGAUGGCGGCCUCAGAGUUCCCAGAGCUCGCUGGCGCUCCACUUCGCGUGCCAUUCUGUCUCGGAACUCCAGCUCCUGCCAAUAUUCCUCAUCUCCCUCGCCCCUCGCCGCCGCGGGACUCUGCGUUGAUGCUCGCUGGCCCCUCUGGCUCCAAUCUCCUUCUUUACUUGGCUCUCUCUCGGCGCCAUAUCGGAUGGGCUCCUUUUGGAGAUUCUCUUCCAAUAGUGGCACCAACCUCCCUACGGUUUCCGACAGCCUGGAUAAAUUUGUUUCCAGGAUGGAUAACCGUAGGGCCACGGUCUCCGGCAUGCUUCCUCCAGAUCCCCAACUGGUUUCCGCAGCCGCAGAGACGCCUCUUCCUCCCCUGGGAAUCCUCUGGGUCACGCCGUCCGGCCUGGGGUACCCCGUAGAGGAAGCUAUGGCUUGCAGCGUCUCUUCUCCCAACGGCCGGGCCCCUUGCAAAGCCUCCCUGCUCCAUUUGGGCUUUGAUCUCCUUCUCCACUCAUUAUCACUUCACUGCGAAUUCGCAGGAGGGUGAGAUCGGGAUUCUCGACUUAAAUGUCACGCUCACUUCAAAGGAUCAGUCUGAACGCAGAUCAAAGAUAGCUGCUCUCAAAUCCAAUCUUUAUUGAAGAAUACAUGACUUUGGAAAAGUCGAGAAUGACCUAAUGUUUACAUACAUUCAAUUUUAUCACUUCUGAUGCAACGUAAUAGUACACGCAAAUAUCAUCAUCAAACCCCACCCUCCGGAUCACAUUACUACCAUUCCCACACACUACAUCAAUUAUAAUUGUUUAUACUUUCAACCCUGAGUUCCCAGGCUCAUUUUAUCUUCUCCCGCCAGGUGCUUGCAGGGUUGUUUUAUGUUAUGACGCCAGAUUCAGGGCUUGGAAAUCCAGCCCUGGGAUUUGGCUCCAUGACAAAACAGGCUAAAUAGAUUACAUUUAUCUCUAAAAAAAUACACCCAAAAUAUGUUAUUGAUUUCAUAAACGCGUGGCGAGCCAAAGGCGUCUCUCGUUUAUCUGUCCCAUCAUCCAAUUUUCAUUCCCCUCUUUAUCAACAUCAAGAGUAAUAUGCUCUCCAAUAAACCUAAUUCAAUUUUCUUAAAGGUUAUUCUCAUAAAUUAGAAGGACAAUCCUCUGUUGACACCCUAGAGAGUCACAUUUGGGCUUGGUGCGAAACCAAGGAGCUUCUGCUCCAUCCUUCAAUCCUUUGGGCUGGCCCCUUCCUCGUUGCCCAGUCCGUUGCAAGAGAAAAAGGAGCUUGAGUAAGAUUAAUCAGAAGCAAUUUGCAGCAGUCGCCAAUGGAAGGAACACUGCUAAGCAUUUUUCCAAAGAUGAAUAAUAUCCCAGGUAGCUGGCACCUGUAUGUGAAGCGAAGCAUUACAAACAAAUGAGAAGUAAUAGAGCUUACUGUGCAUAAAAUGUUAUUGUUUCAUGGAAAUAGUGUCGAAUAAGCAAGCUGGAAGUAAUCGCCCUGAGCUCGCCAACUGACUGGAUAACCUUUACACUUCCCCAGGAUCCCAGCAGAAGAAUGAGAUGGAUUACUGUCCGGAGGUGUUUAUAAAGCCAGGACUCAAUUCUCUGAUGUGGUUGGAACGAAGGCUGGGAUUUUCCUUUUCCCUUUGCAAAUCAAAGAGAACAUGAAGUUGUAUCUCUAGAGGAGGCAGCGUCGAAGUUCAAGACCCUACACAAUCACAACACAUAAGUAAUUUUUCCAGGACUAGGUUAUCUAGGGCCCAUUUACACAUAGGUCAGUGUAGAUGUGAAUCAGCCCCACAGCAGAUGAACACCACAUGGAACUGGUUCAAGGUAAUGUGGAGCAAGGCUACCCCCUAAUAUGGUCUUGCUCCACAUUAUCCAAAUUUGGGAAAGUCCAAAUUCUGUCAUGAAUUUGGACAUUCCCCCAACUUAGGGCCUGUGGGGACAGUAGGGACAGUAUGAGAUUUCUUACCAUACAUCAAGGGAACCACUGACCACAUAGGGAAGCUGAUGAAGAAACACAACCUACAAACUAUCUACAGACCCAGCAAGAAAAUCCAACAAAUGCUCAAUUCAGCGAAGGACAAGAAGCAUCCUCUCACCUCUGCAGGAGUCUACCGUAUACCAUGCAGCUGUGGACAAGUCUACAGAGGGACCACCAAAUGCAGCAAUGCCCAAACACGGGUCAAAGAACAUGAAAGGCACUGCAGACUAAUUCAACCAGAGAAGUCAGUCAUAGCAGAGCACUUGAUGAACCAACCUGGACACCACAUAUUAUUUGAGAACACAGAAAUGCUGGACCACUCUAACAACUACUAUGUCAGACUACACAGAGAAGCCAUUGAAACCCACAAGCAUGUGGACAAUUUCAACAGAAAGGAGGAAUCCAUGAAACUGAACAGAAUCUGGCUACCAGUAUUUUAAAAACUCUAAAAUCAGAACAGGAAAUAAAGAACAGCACUUUGAAAACAAAGAAGUUCCAGACAAGAAACAAUCAGGGACAGCUAACACCUCCCAACAAAGGAUUCUCCCAGACAGGAAGAAGCCAGGCCUUGAGGCAAAAGAGCUAUCAAACGCUAAACAAGGUUAUUAAUUACAACAUCCACGCCUGCCUCCAACAGACAAGAGUUCUUUUUCCCACCCUGGACCUUACACCGAUAUAUACACUAAGUAAACAGGGGAAUUCCAGACAGAACAGGGCCAGCUAACACCCCCCCCCCCCACUCACACACACAAAGGAUUCCCCGAGACAAGCAGCCAGGUGUUGAAGCUGCAAGGCUAUUCAAUGCUAAUCAAGCUGGCUGAUUGCAACAUUCACACUUGCCUCAAGCAGACAAGAGUUCUUUCUCCCACCCUGGACAUUAUGCCACUGAUAUAUAAACCUCACUUGCCUAGUUUCCAACAAACCUCACAACCUCUGAGGAUGCCUGCCAUAGAUGUGGGCAAAACGUCAGGAGAGAAUGCUUCUGGAACAUGGCCAUACAGCCUGGACAACUCACAGCCACCUAAUGACUACGGCCAUGAAAGCCUUCAACAAUACACAUCUAAUAUGGAUAAAAUCUUCAGAACUAUUCAGAAAAAAUUAAGUGAAGAUAUUCAUCCCUUCACUGCAGGAACUCACCAACCAUUAAAAACCUGCAUUACAAAAAUAAUACUCCAAUCUAGUUUUUUUUUUUCUCCCUCUGACAUUUCUUCAUAAAACCUUAGUGAGGAUUUUGAUAUAGGUAUGAGCAAGUAUGUUCCCUUUUUUUAGAAAAACCAACUUUCCUCAGAUGCUUCAUACUGUUUCCUGUGCCCCUGGAGAAUGUCUGAAGAGUGACUUUUGAGUUUCAAAUGAAGGAUCAUCAAAGUCUGACAAGGUUGUCAGAAAUAAUCGCUAAAAUUCCAGAAGCAUAGACAUGGC
rnacentral:lncRNA from 1 species